CCCUAACCAAAAAGAUUUCCAAAGAUUUACCUUUGGAAAUAAUCCAUCUCUAAGGAGAAAUACUGAAAACAUACCAACUGCCCUAAGUUCCAAAAUCAUAAGCAACAAUUAAGAGCAAUAAUUAAAAUGGAGAGUCCUGUGUUGAGGAAUUGCAAAGACCUGGGUACUAAUUCUUUUCUCCCAGGCAAGUUACUUAACCUCCCAGAGUUUAGAUGUUCAUCUGCAAAACAGGAAUAACAGCACCUGCUCUGCCAGCUUGCACAGCAGUUGUGAGGAUCAAAUGCAGAGGCGGCAAUAAAAGGGCAGCACCACCUGUACCUCCGAGACAAUCCAGGUAUACAAGGUACAAUGAGGUCUGGCCCCAGGGCUGACCUCAGACUGUGCCUUAACACUCUGUGUCUUACUGCAUCAUUUCUGGAAGGUUAUUUCAGAAGGUGGUAAUUACAGAGAGUAAAUUAGGGCUAAAGCAGGAUGAGAACUUGCUUGGAUGUUCUGUUGAGGAAAGAGAGGUGGAAGGAGCAAAGGGCUCAGCACCCAAAACUCUGGGAAUCACUCAACUUUAGAGAAAGAAAGCAAAAGCACUUUUAAAAUGAGUUAAGUGGAAGACGAACAGACAAAUGAGGUAACUUCUAUAAAGAUGGAGGUUGCUUCUGGCUCAUCAGCCAUCGUUGAUGUGCCACAGACCUGAGGGCACGUGACCCAGGAAUGUGCAUCCAAAGAUAAUACUACCUUCAGAGAACUCUACUUAUAGGCUGUGGUUUUUCAAGAAAAAGGAAAAGAUUCAUAAUUCAUUGAGCUCUUUCCUUGUGAGAAGAAAGGCCACUCUUUUGUGUGCUGAAGUUGGACAACAGUUCCCAAGGAAGCUGAAUUCUAGCUGUUUAUUGUUAUUGGGUUUUGCACUAUGCCCUUUAUGUUGUCAUUAAUCAAUAAAUACGUGUGGAACAAAUGAUUAACUAGAUGAAUGAUCUCCAGGUUUUCUGAUAAUGCCAUGAGUAAAAUCAGUAGAAUCAAACAUCUACUUAGAAUACCAUUUUAUAUAGUUUUGCUUUCUGCUUUAGCACUUCUAACCUCUAGAGAAUGUUCUGUAACUCCCACCACGAUUUAAAAAUAAGCCAUAUGUGUAUGUAAUCAAAAUAUACAACACACGUUAUUUUUACAGUCUGCAUAAUAAUAUAUCAAUACUAGACAUGUAUUGCUACUUCUUGUUGUCACUGGAUAAAUUCUGCUCACUAAAUGUGACCUUGACUACUGUGUGUGUGUGUGUGUGUGUGUGUGUGUGUGUGUGAAUGUGAGUGUGUGAGUAUGUAUGUGUCUGUGUGUGUGUGAGUGUUUAUGUAUUGGGAGGCAGGGAGAAGAAACUGAAGAAUAAAAAGGAAGGACGAUACAGUUGCCUCAGCUAUUCUGUUAUACCUGAGGAGCUUUGAAAGGUGAACAACCCGAAGUACUGAAAUGUUCUCAGCAUGAAUUAAGUAAUUCAUCUCUAAAGUGGUCUGAAGAUAGAGGCAAUAGACUUUCCAGUAAUAACAAAUGAUCGAGAUGGAUUUGGCCUGACACUCCAAGAAAGUACAGUGGUGAAAUUGAAUCACUGAAGCAGCUGAGGCAGAGAGCUUUUCCUUCAGGAUUCACGGCCUAUUUCUCAGUUCUGGGAAGACAACUCUAACAACUCAACAGAGUGAAGAGAGAUAAAGAUGUUGGGAAUGACUGAUUUCAAACAAUCAAAACUGCUUUGGGGAUGAGGAUGAAGUUGGGACAUUACUGCCUUGUAUACCACAUACUAUAAUAUUUAUUAUGUCUAUUGUUUAUUGUGUGUGUCCUUCUUUAGAAUUUUAACUCCCCAAGGGCAAAGAUCCCUGACUGUUUUGCUUAUCAAUGUAUCCAAAAGGCCUAAAACAGAGCCUUGUACCCUAUACACACUCUGCAAAUAUUUGCUGAAUUGAAUAAAAGGCUGCCGAUCUAUAAACUAUGCUGCUUUCAAAUAAAACUAAGACAAGGACAUUGAUAGCAUAUCCUCAUCCCCUGUCUGGCCCCUUGGAUUUGAUUUGAGCCUCUGUGAUUAGAAUGAUGAAGUCUGUUGGGGCUGUUUUCAGGAGAGGUUGUGAGACUCUAGGCACCAGAAGAGCUGCCCUGGGACACAGAGAGGAAAAAGUAAUAAAUAAUGGAGAAGAAAAAAAAAAAAACCAUGGGAAACAAACAAACUCAAACUAGAAAUGAAAUAAGCUAUGGCUUCUGUAAUCCUCCUGCACAUAACAACUAUGGGUUUUGGACAAAAUACAAAAAGCAGCUAUCCAGAGGCACUGAAGAGAAGCCAAGCAGGCAGACAAUGGAGGGGAAUCUGCAUAUGGAAGAAGGAGAUGACAGUGGGAAAGUUCCCAUUAUUACAGCUCUUUGCUGGAAAGCCGGUCCCAAUCCAUGCCAAAUAAAGGUUACUAAAACAUGAAUAGAAAAUCUGUAGUCUUACUGGCAUGAAGAGCCAGGAGACAGGGUUCAUGGUGAUUAUAGCAACCAGAAAGUGAGAAGGGGGAAAUCUUGGAAAAAUGAGAGCCAAAGAGGGGGAAGUAACAUGUUCUAUGUAUAAACUCUGCACAAGUCAUUGGCUGACUCAUGAACCAUGUGUGCAAAUAGCCCAGCUAAGGCUAGAAGAACCAAACAGAGAUUUCUGUUGCUGUGCACUGGAGACAGUUUACAGUUUGAAGUAGUUAAAUUAGCUGCCUGCUUAAAACAAAUCAUCACUCUUCAGAGGAAUAUAACAGAACCCAGAGGCUCUGCAACAUAUCAUUCACAGUUUUCUGGAUAAUAUCUAAAAUACUAGGCAUAUGAAGAAAAAAAGAAAAUGUAAGCCAAAAACAAUCAAUGCAGACUGACACUCAGAUAAAUAAUUAGCAGACAAAAAUUUUAAAUCAGCUAUUUUAACUAUGCUCAUGAAUGUAAAGGAAAAUAGGUUUGUAAAGAAUUAACAAAUACAAAAUCUCAGAGAACUAGAAACUAUUAAAAUGAUCAAAUAAAAAUUCUAAGACCAAAAACUGUAAUAAAAUAUUUGAAAUAAAUGUUGCCAUAUGGGCCUGACAGUAAAUGGAAAUGACUGAAGAAAAACCGAGAGAAUUUGAAGACAGAUCAAUAUAACUAAUUCUAUCUAAAGAAUAUAGAGGAAAAAUACUGGGAAAAAUGAGCAGAGCUUCAGGGACUUGUGGGACAAUACUGAAAGAUCUAGCAUACAUAUAACUAAGUUUCAGAAAGAAAAGAGACAGAGAAUGGAAUAGAAAAAAUAUUGAGGAAGAUGUAAUAUACAUGAUAAAUGUAUAUUAGCAGAAGUGAGUCUACUUUAAAAUGUAAUUUUAGAUUUCAGAUAUAUAUGUGGUAGAAAUAAAAAAUUCAAAGAUAAUUGAUAUAGAAGAUAAUAACAAGGAUAUCCAAAUUGUGUGAAAAAUGUUCUGGAGAUCGAACAAAUAGCAAAAGUACAAAAAGAUCAAAUCACACCAGAGUAACACUCUUCAGAACUGAAAAAAAGUAAUAUCAUAAACCAAGAAAUAUCCUUAGACACUUAUAACUGAG
rnacentral:lncRNA from 1 species